rnacentral:rRNA from 1 species
AAUUUUUCGCAAUGGGCGCAAGCCUGACGAAGCAACGCCGCGUGGAGGAUGAAGGUCUUCGGAUUGUAAACUCCUGUCGACCGGGACGAAUGCACCCAACCUAAUACGUUGAAGUGUUGACGGUACCGGUGGAGGAAGCCACGGCUAACUCUGUGCCAGCAGCCGCGGUAAUCCAGAGGUGGCAAGCGUUGUUCGGAAUCACUGGGCGUAAAGGGCGCGUAGGCGGCCUUAUAAGUCUCGUGUGAAAGCCCUCGGCUUAACUGAGGAUCUGCACGGGAUACUGUAGGGCUCGAGUUCGGGAGAGGAAAGCGGAAUUCCGGGUGUAGCGGUGAAAUGCGUAGAUAUCCGGAGGAACACCAGUGGCGAAGGCGGCUUUCUGGACCGACACUGACGCUGAGGCGCGAAAGCUAGGGGAGCAAAC